AGUGAACGCUGGCGGUAGGCCUAACACAUGCAAGUCGAACGGCAGCACAGUAAGAGCUUGCUCUUACGGGUGGCGAGUGGCGGACGGGUGAGGAAUACAUCGGAAUCUACUUUUUCGUGGGGGAUAACGUAGGGAAACUUACGCUAAUACCGCAUACGACCUACGGGUGAAAGCAGGGGAUCUUCGGACCUUGCGCGAUUGGAUGAGCCGAUGUCGGAUUAGCUAAUUGGCGGGGUAAAGGCCCACCAAGGCGACGAUCCGUAGCUGGUCUGAGAGGAUGAUCAGCAACACUGGAACUGAGACACGGUCCAGACUCCUACGGGAGGCAGCAGUGGGGAAUAUUGGACAAUGGGCGCAAGCCUGAUCCAGCCAUACCGCGUGGGUGAAGAAGGCCUUCGGGUUGUAAAGCCCUUUUGUUGGGAAAGAAAAGCAGCAGGUUAAUACCCCGCUGUUCUGACGGUACCCAAAGAAUAAGCACCGGCUAACUUCGUG
rnacentral:rRNA from 1 species